GACGAACGCUGGCGGCGUGCCUAAUACAUGCAAGUCGAGCGAUGAAGAUUGGUGCUUGCACCUAUUUGAAUAGCAGCGAACGGGUGAGUAACGCGUGGGGAAUCUGCCUUUGAGCGGGGGACAACAUUUGGAAACGAAUGCUAAUACCGCAUAACAACUUUAAACAUAAGUUUUAAGUUUGAAAGAUGCAAUUGCAUCACUCAAAGAUGAUCUCGCGUUGUAUUAGCUAGUUGGUGAGGUAAAGGCUCACCAAGGCGAUGAUACAUAACCGAACUGAGAGGGUGGAUGGCCAACAUGGGAACUGGAAAAGGCCCAAGCCCCCACCGGAGGCCGCAGGAGGGAAUCUUCCGGAAUGGGGGGAAGUCUGAACGAGCAAAGCCGCGGGAGGGAAGAAGGGUUUCGGAUCGUAAAAAUCUGUUGGUAGGGAAGAACGUUGGUGGGAGUGGAAAGCGCAUCAAGUGACGGUAACUAAUCAGAAAGGGACGGCUAACUACGUG
rnacentral:rRNA from 1 species